AAACUCAAAGGAAUUGACGGGGCCCGCACAAGCAGCGGAGCGUGUGGUUUAAUUCGAGGCAACACGAAGAACCUUACCUGGGCUUGACAUGUUCGUGGUAGUGAAGCGAAAGCGGAUCGACCCUUCGGGGAGCGUUCACAGGUGCUGCAUGGCUGUCGUCAGCUCGUGCUGUGAGGUGUUCGGUUAAGUCCGGUAACGAGCGCAACCCUUGCUGUUAGUUACAAGUGUCUAACGGGACUGCCGGUUUAAUACCGGAGGAAGGUGGGGAUGACGUCAAGUCAGCAUGGCCUCUAUGUCCAGGGCUACACACACGCUACAAUGGCCGGUACAGUGGGUUGCCAAACCGCGAGGUGGAGCUAAUCCUCAAAGCCGGUCUCAGUUCGGAUUGUAGGCUGCAACUCGCCUGCAUGAAGUCGGAGUUGCUAGUAACCGCGCGUCAGCUAUAGCGCGGUGAAUACGUUCCCGGGCCUU
rnacentral:rRNA from 1 species